rnacentral:rRNA from 1 species
UACGAGGGUGCGAGCGUUGUCCGGAAUUAUUGGGCGUAAAGGGCUCGUAGGCGGUUUGUCGCGUCGGGAGUGAAAACCUCGGGCUUAACUCGGGGCUUGCUUUCGAUACGGGCAGACUAGAGGUAUGCAGGGGAGAACGGAAUUCCUGGUGUAGCGGUGAAAUGCGCAGAUAUCAGGAGGAACACCGGUGGCGAAGGCGGGUCUCUGGGCCGAUACUGACGCUGAGGAGCGAAAGCGUGGGGAGCGAACAGG